AAGUUGCAUCAGACAUAGCAGUUGCAACAUGCCAACAUAUAUAUUCAAACUAAACAGAAACAGUUUCAGACAGGUUACAACAACAUCAUGACCCAGAAGCCUGGAACAUCAUGAGCUGAUGAUGUUCACCAACGACCACCGCCGCCGCCUCCAGGCCCACCACCACCGCCGCCGCCAGGUCCACCACCACCACCGCCGCCACGUCCACCGCCGCCCCAUCCCCCACCGCCACCAGGUCCGCCCCCAGGUCCACCGCCGCCCCAUCCACCGCCGCCACCAGGUCCACCACCGCCACCAGGUCCACCACCGCCACCAGGUCCUCCGCCGAACAUUGGCCCACAGCAGCCCUCAAGCAGGCAGCAGCAGCACAGGAAAUAAGCACU
rnacentral:lncRNA from 1 species